rnacentral:tRNA from 1 species
GCUGGUGUAGCUCAACUGGCAGAGCACCCGACUUGUAAUCGGAAGGUUGUCGGUUCAAUUCCGAUCACCAGCU